rnacentral:lncRNA from 15 species
ACUGACACUGCACAAUGUUCUGCGACUGAACUUGAGAGACACUAACAGCAGAUAAAGACAACACCUGAGUUUCCUGCUUAACAAAGAAGGGAAGUAAGGAAGGACGGGGACAACAGACAACAAAACCUCAGGAGAAAACAAAGACGAUGUUCAAAACAAUCACCCGGCUGCUUUUUGGGGUAGAGGAGGAGACCCCCGAGGAUGUCAAGUCUGGAGAAGUGGUGGAAGAAGGGUGGCUUGUUGUCAGUCAUCAAGAGGCAGGUUCAGCAGAGAGCCAUAGUGCAGAGCUGACUGACACCCAACCAUCAAACUCUGCUCCUCAUGGAGACACAAUUGCAAACAUGGACACUGACGGCAGUGUGUUGGAUCCAGAGCCCACAGUUCGAAGCAGCAGCGCCACCAGUCGAGCCAUCACAGGCUCAGUUUCUCAGCCUAAAGCUUUGUUGGAAGUGACUCAGUUAGCCUGCACCCAGAAGGCUAAGGCCUGGACAGACCGACACCACAUGACUCGUAACGCCAUCCAGCGCCAGAACCGCGUCCACCAAGGAGUCCAACAUCACUCCUUCCACCUCCAACAGCCGGGACAUCGCAACCUCAGCCACUGAGGCUCUGGAUGUACGACGGCAAAUGUUAACCAGAAAAUACAUCAUUAUCAUAAUACUAUUAAACACAUACUACAAUACGCACAUUUUAGUUUUGUGCAGAUUUAAGCUAAAUAAAUAUAAUCUUGAUAAAACCCAUUACAACACUUGACAACUCUUACAAGGUAGUAGGCAGCUACAUUAUAACUCUGUACUGUAUAUGAAUUUGGAAUGAAGACGUCCACCUCAUGAAAUGAGAUACACCAUGUUUUCUUGUUUGUGUGCAUGUGAUGUGAUGUGGAUGAGAGAAAAGUGCAGCCUAUGCAAAAUGUAUCCUGUAACAUUUCUGACAAAGUGACAUGAUUUGUGUAUUGACAUGCAUUUACCUCUAUGUACUUGGUUGAAAACCUUUUUUUAUACGGCAAUAAAAACGAUGACAUUGCAGCUUGUGUUUUAUGUAUUAGUCAAAUUGACAAAUUGUCAAAAUGACAUUGAACUGCUCAGUUUGACAGAUGCUGAGAUCUGAUUGGUUGGG